CCUACGGGUGGCAGCAGUGAGGAAUAUUGGUCAAUGGGCGGAAGCCUGAACCAGCCAAGUAGCGUGCAGGAUGACGGCCCUACGGGUUGUAAACUGCUUUUAUACGGGAAUAACGCGCCUUACGUGUAGGGCUUUGCAUGUACCGUAUGAAUAAGGACCGGCUAAUUCCGUGCCAGCAGCCGCGGUAAUACGGAAGGUCCGGGCGUGAUCCGGAUUUAUUGGGGUUAAAGGGAGCGUAGGCCGCAUGUCAAGCGUGCUGUGAAAUGUCCGGGCUCAACCCGGGCCUUGCAGCGCGAACUGGCGUGCUUGAGUCCGCGGAAAGCAGGCGGAAUUCGUCGUGUAGCGGUGAAAGGCUUAGAUAUGACGAAGAACCCCGAUUGCGAAGGCAGCUUGCUGCAGCGGAACUGACGCUGAUGCUCGAAAGCGCGGGUAUCGAACAGGAGUAGAUACCCCAGUAGUC
rnacentral:rRNA from 1 species